rnacentral:rRNA from 1 species
AUGCUCAUUUCGGUGAUGUUGUUACCUUCGAUACAACAUUUGGGACAAACAAAGAGUACAUACCCUUUGGUGUGUUUGUUGGCUUCAACCAUUUCAGAGAAAUGGUCAUUUUUGGUGCUGCACUUUUAUAUGAUGAGACAUUUGAAUCAUUCAACAUUUGAAUCAUUCAAGCACUUACCUCAUAAGAAAAAAGACGAGGAUGGACCAAAUGUACUUGCUGAUUUCAGUGCUUGCAUGUACAAGUAUGAGGAAGAGGAAGCCUUUGAAGACGCUUUCAAUUCCAUAAGAAGCAAUGUGGAAACACAAACUUGGUUGGACAGCAUCUACAAAGUAAAAGAGAAAUGGGCAAGAUGUUACAUGAGGAAUGCUUACACUAUAGGCAUGAGAAGCACACAAUUAAGUGAGAGCUUGAACAGUGACUUGAAAGACCAUCUAAAGUCUGCUCUUGACAUCCUUCAGUUUUUCAAGCACGUAGAGAGGGUUGUGCAAGGAAAAAGAGAUAAUGCGGUAAAUGAGGAAUAUGAGUCUAGGAAAAAAUUACCUAGAGUCAGAAUGAGGACUCCUAUGGUAAUACAAGCGAGCAAAGUUUACACACCAUGCAUAUUUGAAGAUUUUCAGAAUGAAUAUGAAAGAUCCAUCUCAGCAUACAUCAAGCCAUCGGUACAACACAAUGUUUAUACUGUUGCGAUUGCAAGUCUUGACCCAGAAUUUUCAUAUGAAGAAGAAUGCAAAGUUCUAGUAGACUAUGGAGAGCAAAAGGUUCUAUGCAAUUGUGGGCAAUUUGAAAGAGUUGGUAUAUUGUGUAGUCAUGCUUUGAAAGCCCUUGAUGUCAUGAAUAUUAAAUAUCUUCCAGGCCACUAUAUUUUGAAGCGAUGGACUCGAGAAGCACGAAGUGGAACUAUUCAAAACAGUCAUGGAAACAUUGUUUUGGAAGACCCUAGAUCGGAAGAUAGGCAACAGUUGAAGUUUUUCAUGCACGAUUUCCAUGGCAUAGCUUCCCAAGCAGUUGCAUCAAAAGAGUGCAUCAAACUAGUAGAUGAUGCUUUGAGGAUUCUUAGGAAGCAAGUUGAAGAAAAAGCUCCUACUACUACAUGCACAACUGAAGAUAUAUCUAAAGAACCAGAGGAUUGUCUACAGGCUGCUUGCCUAAAGAAAAAAGAAAUUCCGAAGAAGAAUUCGAGACGAAAGAAAUCAUGGCUUGACAACCAGCACCCCAAUAAAAAGAAGAAGGAGACAAAUAAAGUUGUACCAAAAAAUCAAACUCAUCCGGUAAAUCUCUUCCACCUAUCUAACCAGAGUACUUGCUAA